GACUUUUCGGUCUCGCGAAUGCAUCCUAGAUUAUUAGUUUGAUCAUGGCUCAGAUUGAACGCUGGCGGCAGGCCUAACACAUGCAAGUCGAGCGGAUGACGGGAGCUUGCUCCUUGAUUCAGCGGCGGACGGGUGAGUAAUGCCUAGGAAUCUGCCUGGUAGUGGGGGACAACGUUUCGAAAGGAACGCUAAUACCGCAUACGUCCUACGGGAGAAAGCAGGGGACCUUCGGGCCUUGCGCUAUCAGAUGAGCCUAGGUCGGAUUAGCUAGUUGGUGGGGUAAUGGCUCACCAAGGCGACGAUCCGUAACUGGUCUGAGAGGAUGAUCAGUCACACUGGAACUGAGACACGGUCCAGACUCCUACGGGAGGCAGCAGUGGGGAAUAUUGGACAAUGGGCGAAAGCCUGAUCCAGCCAUGCCGCGUGUGUGAAGAAGGUCUUCGGAUUGUAAAGCACUUUAAGUUGGGAGGAAG
rnacentral:rRNA from 1 species